rnacentral:sRNA from 12 species
GCCCCGUUGACGGAUUGAACGGUAGCCGGUAGCGAGAACCGGACGGGGU